UUACAAGAAAUGCCUAACUGUGUUAUGGUUCCUAUUUGUUGUUACUCUGAGUUUUCUGUUAUCAGUUGUUUUGUUUUUAUUUUCCAUUAUCUUCAAGCAUUCUUUAGUUACUCUCUGUUGCCCCCUUGUGAUUGUUUUCUUUUCCCUUGGAUUCCCUCUUGCCAGUUCCACCCACACCUGCUCCCCAUUCAGCUCGUUAGUCCUUCCUUUGUUUGGUUGUCCUUAAAUACUCCACCUCUGCAGUCACUCAGUGCUGGUUCCUUCUUGUUGCUGUGUUGUCUACUCGG